UACGUAGGGGGCAAGCGUUGUCCGGAUUUAUUGGGCGUAAAGAGCGUGUACGCGGCCUGAAAGGUCAGCUGUGAAAACUCGAGGCUCAACCUCGAGACGUCGGUUGAAACCACCUGGCUAGAGUCCGGAAGAGGAGUGUGGAAUUCCCGGUGUAGCGGUGGAAUGCGCAGAUAUCAGGAGGAACACCGGUGGCGAAGGCGGGUCUCUGGGCCGAUACUGACACUGAGAAGCGAAAGCGUGGGGAGCAAACAGG
rnacentral:rRNA from 1 species